rnacentral:tRNA from 1 species
GGCUCCAUAGCUCAGUCUGGUUAGAGCACCGGCCUUUUAAGCCGGGUGUCGGGGGUUCAAAUCCCCCUGGGGCCA